rnacentral:rRNA from 1 species
AUGAACGCUGGCGGCGUGCCUAAUACAUGCAAGUCGAGCGAACGGGCGAGAAGCUUGCUUCUCUGAUGUUAGCGGCGGACGGGUGAGUAACACGUGGAUAACCUACCUAUAAGACUGGGAUAACUUCGGGAAACCGGAGCUAAUACCGGAUAAUAUUUUGAACCGCAUGGUUCCAAAGUGAAAGACGGUCUUGCUGUCACUUAUAGAUGGAUCCGCGCUGCAUUAGCUAGUUGGUAAGGUAACGGCUUACCAAGGCAACGAUGCAUAGCCGACCUGAGAGGGUGAUCGGCCACACUGGAACUGAGACACGGUCCAGACUCCUACGGGAGGCAGCAGUAGGGAAUCUUCCGCAAUGGGCGAAAGCCUGACGGAGCAACGCCGCGUGAGUGAUGAAGGUCUUCGGAUCGUAAAACUCUGUUAUUAGGGAAGAACAUAUGUGUAAGUAACUGUGCACAUCUUGACGGUACCUAAUCAGAAAGCCACGGCUAACUACGUG